ACGUUUGGGUUUGGGUUUUUGGGGUUGGUUUUUAUUUUUUGUUUUUUGGGGGGUUUUUUGGUUUGUCUUUUCCUCUUAAAGAACUUGGGCUUUAGGAUACAUAGCUUUAAAGAAUGGUAUGAGCUCUAGCCUGGCAUGGCCGCUCAUGCCCAUCAUCCCAGCCCUCAGGAGGUGACGGCAGGAGAGUAUUACAGACGAGCCUUGAGCACAGUGAAAUGCAGAUGCCUUGGAAGCCUGGACUAUCAUAGAAUUUUGCGGGCUCUAAGAUUACAGUCAUGACGUCAGUGCCCUUUUACUGUGUUUUAACAUUUCCUCAAAUCAACAUCGAUUAUAAAUGUAAUACUAGAUGUCAAUAUAAUGUCUUUGUGAAUAUUAUGUUAUUACUCAAAAAAGUAUCUCUUAGCUUCAGUGUGAAAUGCAUUCAAAGUUGUUUUAUUUUUAAGAUAGUUGUAAAAAGUAUUAGUCAUCUGUCUUGCUCUUUUUAUUAUUAAUAAUUUAUUAGAAUAAAAAUUAAGAGGGUAAGUGCAAUAAACUCUGCAUUAUUUCCCACGUAUUCCUAGGCACACUUCCCUAGCCCUGGGAAGGGCUCCAGAGUGUAGGCAGCCUAGCUACACCCCCUGUCUCCUCGGCUGAUGCUGAGUCAUGAGCUAGAGCAUUAGGGCUUUUUAAUUCCAAGACACGAAAAUGCAUAGUGGAGACCAACCAGUGAUCAUGUCCACAGUAUUCUGUACCUGGGCACUCGUAACAUAUAUGCACAUUUGGUAUAGAAUGGGACAAACUGUGUUAGCACUUGUGCCGCCAUGGACUUGGAGAACUUAAUAAUGUAAUAAUUUAAAAGUAUAAUUACUAAAAGCCAUGCGUUGAUUAUACAGACUGUCCUCCCAUAUCUAUGAAGCUUAAAAAGCUGAAAAAGUUUUAUUUUCUUUUUCAUUAGGCAUCUCCUAUGUCCUUUCAUAUAUGGUCAAGACUGAGCAAAAGCAUGUGUAAGAAAUGCAUUUAUGUCCAAGAGAACCUCCACUGACUUAGGGCGCGCUCCUGGGGUAGAUUUGUUUCUGAGGUUCUUCUCCUCAUAGAAUACGUGGAGGAGAGACCCUGAGACGACAGUGUGUAUUGAUCAUUGUUAGUUACAAAUGUAAAUGACUAUUUAUUUAGUAAUAUUUUGGUAUCCUUGGGCAAGAAGUUGGUGUGCGUGCAUGUGUGGGUCCACACACUUCCCUGGCUUUCAUCUGAAAGUGAGUGCUUGGGACUCCUUUUUUUCCAUCCCACUUGAGAUUUUUGAGUCUGUUCAUUUUCAAGGCUUGAACAUGGUGCGUUUGGACACAAUGAACAGUUGGUGGUGGUUUGGUUUGGUUUCUCCAUAACCAUUUAAAGUGACUCACUCAAUCAGGCUACACAGGUCAUUUAUUCAUUAAGAAAUACAUUUGCCUAAUAAACACUAAUAAACCGGCACGCUACGGGUGUCAUGGUUAUCACUCUCCAGUCCCUUGGCAUCUGUGCUCUCAUGACAGCAGCAGGACGGGUCUUCAGGCCUUACUCUCAGGCUGCCCUUUGUCACUGGGCUAAGAAGAGUGCUGUUCUGCUUGCACAGGUAGAUGAGCCAAGCGCCUCAGCCUGAGCUCGGGCCUGGGGAAAGUGCUGUUCCCAUGGUGCUCUGCCCAAAGACUGUAAGAAGACACUAGACUUUUAGCAUUUCGUAACCGCUUGACUGGUGCCUGUUCCGUGCUCCUGAAAUGAGUCCAAUCCAGUCGGGCAGCCUUCUGAAGUCCCUUGUACAGGCUGUUGGUUAUUUUCUAAAUAUUUUUACAAGAAAAUUUAGUCUUAAAUUUGGAAGAAGAAACCCCCCCCUUGAAACUAUCAAUACUGUAAAUGUGACACAUGUUGCCCUGGUAAGGAUAUAUAUAAAAUGACAUUCAUGCUUUGGGACUAUUGACUCUACUGAUCUCUUUUUCAAGAAUUUUUUUCAGUUCAUUUUCAUACUGAUAUUGUUAACACUUAACACCAAUUGGUGGCACUAGUGACUGAAAAUUGUUAAAGGUGAACAAGAGAAAUAAUUGAAAAAAAAGCAAACUAAACAAGAACUUAGUUGCAUAUUGAAAUGUAUGCAUAUGGCUAUCAUUCAUGCCUGCUGCUCUCUUCCCUUCCCGAGUGCAGGGCUGUCUGCGUUGUGUAGGGAACCCUGGGUUGAUUACACUGUGCAUUCUGUAAAUACUCUGUAUAAAGUGAUGCUCUUCAGGGGAGUCUGUGUACAUUCUGUACUUAUUAAAUAAGCAGUGCCUGUU
rnacentral:lncRNA from 1 species